UUUCUUUCCUCUCCUCCCCAUGCUCUGAUCUCACUCCUGUCCAUCCUCUAGAUGGGCGGAGGGCGGUACCGCACUGACGUGUACGACCUGUUUCCGGCCACAUUCCAGACGGUGAAGAUGCGUCCGGAGAUCGCUGGCAGCUGGCUGAUGCACUGCCAUGUCUCAGACCACAUCUCCGGUGGCAUGGAGGCCAUCUAUACCGUCAGAGAAAAAGCAAAAGGAGGUCGAUUUGGCUGAGCUGCAGUGUCAAGGAGCAGAUUAAGAAAGUCGUCAAUGUCCACAAAUAAGAAGGCAUAAACGUCUGUGUAUGCGGGAUAGGCAAUGACAAGCUAGACUAAAUCACUAAACUCUUUCCAGAAAAAUGAAUUUAUAUCCACUGGCCCCCUGAUGGCAGUAUAGACUUAUUGUGUAGUCUCAGCUCCCUUGCUUGAAAUGUGUGAUUGCAACUUACACUGAUGUAGAUGCAUUGGAUGUUGGAAUAAAGUGCUUUGAAAUUUGCCAAUCAGGCUCUUUGUGUUUGUUG